GACACGGUCCAGACUCCUACGGGAGGCAGCAGUAAGGAAUAUUGCUCAAUGGGGGAAACCCUGAAGCAGCAACGCCGCGUGGAGGAUGACACUUUUCGGAGCGUAAACUCCUUUUGUUAGGGAAGAACAAUGACGGUACCUAACGAAUAAGCACCGGCUAACUUCGUGCCAGCAGCCGCGGUAAUACGAGGGGUGCAAGCGUUACUCGGAAUCACUGGGCGUAAAGGACGCGUAGGCGGAUUAUCAAGUCUCUUGUGAAAUCCUAUGGCUUAACCAUAGAACUGCUUGGGAAACUGAUAAUCUAGAGUGAGGGAGAGGCAGAUGGAACUCUUGGUGUAGGGGUAAAAUCCGUAGAUAUCAAGAAGAAUACCCAUUGCGAAGGCGAUCUGCUAGAACUCUACUGACGCUAAUGCGUGAAAGCGUGGGGAGCAAACAGGAUUAGAUACCCUGGUAGUCCACGCCCUAAACGAUGCAUACUAGUUGUUGCUGUGCUAGUCACAGCAGUAAUGCACCUAACGGAUUAAGUAUGCCGCCUGGGGAGUACGGUCGCAAGAUUAAAACUCAAAGGAAUAGACGGGGACCCGCACAAGCGGUGGAGCAUGUGGUUUAAUUCGAAGCUACGCGAAGAACCUUACCUAGACUUGAUAUCCAACAAAUUUGCUAGAAAUAGUGAAGUGCUAGCUUGCUAGAAUGUUGAGACAGGUGCUGCACGGCUGUCGUCAGCUCGUGUCGUGAGAUGUUGGGUUAAGUCCCGCAACGAGCGCAACCCCUGUAUUUAGUUGCUAACAGUUCGGCUGAGCACUCUAAAUAGACUGCCUGCGCAAGCAGGAGGAAGGUGGGGACGACGUCAAGUCAUCAUGGCCCUUAUGUCUAGGGCGACACACGUGCUACAAUGGCAUAUACAAUGAGACGCAAUACCGCGAGGUGGAGCUAAUCUAUAAAAUAUGUCCCAGUUCGGAUUGGAGUCUGCAACUCGACUCCAUAAAGUCGGAAUCGCUAGUAAUCGCAAAUCAGCCAUGUUGCGGUGAAUACGUUCCCGGGUCUUGUACUCACCGCCCGUCACACCAUGGGAGUUGAUUUCACUCGAAGCAGGGAUGCUAAACUAGCUACCUUCCACAGUGGAAUCAGCGACUGGGGUGAAGUCGUAACAAGGCAACCGUAGGAGAACCUGCGGUUG
rnacentral:rRNA from 1 species